UUUCUUUGCCAUUUGGUAGGUUUUGACCAAUUACCUUUUCUCAUUUCCAGUAUCCUUGAAUACUGCUCUAACCACCUCAACAGAGAUCUCUUCAACCUCAGCAGAAGUGACCUCUCCACCUGACGCAUCUUCAACCUCAGCAGAAGUGAACACACCCU